rnacentral:rRNA from 1 species
AACGAACGCUGGCGGCGUGGAUAAGACAUGCAAGUCGAACGCUGAUUCGAGGGUAGCAAUAUUCUCGAGUCAGAGUGGCGCAAGGGUGCGUAACACGUGGGCAAUCUACCGCGAAGACCGGAAUAACCUGCUGAAAGGCGGGCUAAUGCCGGAUGUGACUGUCUGGAGGAUUCUUCGGACACUCAAAGUUGGGGACCGUAAGGCCUGACACUUCGCGAUGAGCCCGCGGCCUAUCAGCUAGUUGGCGGGGUAACGGCCCACCAAGGCUAAGACGGUAG